CCCUAUGGGGUGCAGCAGGGCUUCUAAAUGCGUUGUGAUUUAAAAACUUAUCUCCAUCGAAACGAUGUAUCUCCCGGACGGGGGUUUUGGCUACUAAAUCUAACACAUACGACCCCGUACCACCUAAGCCUACUAUUCCGAUCUUCUCAAUUUCUAGCUUCUUAGAAACUAAAUUGAUUCCCGCUCUACUUGAUGCGGUAUCAAAAUAAGCGAACACUGACUCACCUUCUGUGGGUUCGAUAACAGGAAAAAUCUUUGCUGUUACACUCGGAUCGAUAGACUGAGCUUGACUGGAAAUUAUUGCGAUAUAUGUCGUCAUCUUUUCAUAGUAAUUAUUGUACCCACCACUCGUCGGUUUACUCGAAAAUGAAUUGGCGGGAGAGC
rnacentral:rRNA from 1 species